AGCAGCCGCGGUAAUUCCAGCUCCAAUAGCGUAUAUUAAAGUUGCUGCAGUUAAAAAGCUCGUAGUUGAAUUUCGGGAUCAAUAUGUUGGUCGUGCCUCGGUACGUACUAGCUUAUUGGUUUCUCCCUUCUGACGAACCAUGAUGUCAUUUAUUUGGUGUUAUGGGGAAUCAGGACUGUUACUUUGAAAAAAUUAGAGUGUUUAAAGCAGGCUUACGCUUGAAUACAUUAGCAUGGAAUAAUGAAAUAGGACGUUUGAUUCUAUUUUGUUGGUUUCUAGGAUCGACGUAAUGAUUAAUAGGGAUAGUUGGGGGCAUUAGUAUUCAAUUGUCAGAGGUGAAAUUCUUGGAUUUAUUGAAGACUAACUACUGCGAAAGCAUUUGCCAAGGAUGUUUUCAUUAAUCAAGAACGAAAGUUAGGGGAUCGAAGACGAUCAGAUACCGUCGUAGUCUUAACCAUAAACUAUAGCCGACUAGGGAUCGGAUGAUGUUUAAUUUUUAAUGA
rnacentral:rRNA from 1 species